UCUAAUGAAACAAACACAUUUUUUGUUGUUAUCUAGAAACCAUAUUAAAUAAAAAAAAUUGUUUCCAAAUUCCUAAUGUUAAUUUUAUCUAUUUGUAUGCGAAAUACGUGAGUUGGAAUGAAAACCUUCUCAAAUAAAGGUAAUCACAUGAUAUAGGUAUACAAUAAUACCGCACAUUAUCAUUCAAUACAAGAGAAUAUUGUGCAAACCAUCAUUAUGGUGAGAACGAUUUUUAUAUCGAUCUUAGUUUUUGCUCUGUGUUAUGAACAAGUAAUAUGUCAAAGUGUUUGCCAACCAUGUACACAAGCAGUUAUCAAUUACUGCUGUACAUAUGAAAAUUCAUGUUGUGAUAUAGCUGUAGAAUCUGGUGCAAGGUUUUGUCCAUUGUUGUCCGAAAGUCAGUCAAGAGAAGUUUGCCAGAAGAAUGGGAACAAAUGCAACAGCAGAUCUGACUGCCCAAAUCCAAAAAGCCAGAAUUGUUGCCCAACUAACCGUUGUGGAUCUCUUUGCGUGGAAAGUCACACCUUACCCAAGGCAUGAAAUGUUCGAUAAAUGAAUUAUUUUAAAAUUAUUUUAUCUAAACGAAUUAUUUUUCAAAUUAAAAUGAUUUUAUUCUUA